UGCGCUGAACAAGUGAGAGAAAAGUGGAAGAUAAACACACAGAGGUUAAAUAACUAUAUUUUACACAAUUGAUUAGAUUACGAAAAUGUACAGUAAGAGUCAAACAGCAUACGACACGUUCGUCAAUUAUCAUUAUGGCACAGCGCUAGUACUACAGACGUUAAAAAGGCUUACGAAGACUGCGUUUGUUUCUUACAGAGAGACUCUCUCCGGAGUAAAGCGCUCAGGUAUGAAACAAGGGAGGAAUAAAGCGCUCAGGUGUGAAACAAGGGAGGAGUAAAGCGCUCAGGUGUGAAACAAGGGAGGAGUAAAGCGCUCAGGUGUGAAACGAGGGAGGAGUAAAGCGCUCAGAUGUGAAACAAGGGAGGAGUAAAGCGCUCAGGUGUGAAACAAGGGAGGAGUAAAGCGCUCAGGUGUGAAACAAGGGAGGAGUAAAACGCUCAGGUGUGAAACAAGGGAGGAGUAAAGCAUUCAUGUGUCAAACAAGGGAGGAGUAAAUUAAAGCGCUCAUGUGUGAAACAAGGGAGGAGUAAAGCGCUUAUGUGUCAAACAAGGGAGGAGUAAAGCGCUAAGAGGUGAAACAAGGGAGGAGUUAAGCGCUCAGGUGUGAAACAAGGGAGCGCCCAGGGAACACUGUUGGGAGAAAUUUAAUACAAGUCAUUUGCUCAAUUUAUUAAUAUUAUACGUACAUUUCCCUGACCAGUUAUUGUGAGAUGUUGGCCCUCGAUCGUGGGGACUUGUUUCAUCUGUAUCAAUUGCGGCGUGACGUAAAAUCCGUUUACGAUGUGAUACUCCACAACCUGGGCGCGCAGAAGGGGUUCCUUGGCCAGGGAUCCCAUUAGAUUCACGUCGGCCUUAGUGAAGGCGGCGUUGUUAGGGGCCAGUAUUGUGAAAGGUCCUGGAACAAUGGUGUAGUUUCACGGACUAAUACAUCAUUGUUUCGUAAGACGGACGGAAAUACUUGUAAAUUGAAUCCUUUUCUUAAGCUUCAUAAUUUUAUAAACAGUUUUAAGUAUUGAACAAACAGAAUAUUAAAAGUAAAACGCAGUAUUUCUAUAUACUUUUUUAAAGGGAGUCGAAGAUUGGGAAGUCUAAGGAUCAUGUGGUCAGUAAGCCACAAACCCAAAGUUCUUACGGUGUAAACAUUUGUUUUCAUUCAUAUGAUGUGCAAUUUCGGAUCACGCAGGCUAAUCUGAGACGACAUUCAACGCACAUGCAUUCAACCCCGUUUUCCCAGAGCGAGGCUCAAGUCUUUCUCACUUCUACAAACCUGUUCCUGUGAGGGUUCCCUGCAUAUUGGCCUCGGUCAGGAUUUGGACGAAGCUGCUGAGGCCGAUAUCAUGCAUGCAACGGAACACGUUCUCGUCGAUAUAUCGCUUCUCUGCGCUUGCCACGUGAACAAGGAGCGCUAAAACAAUUGUCAAGAACGACAUUAUUGUAUCGCGCGUCUACGUGUCUAUAA